UUUCUCCGGGUUGUGUAUUUACGCCGCUGUGGUAGUGUCCGACUACGCCUCAUGUUGACGAGGCCUGUGAAAACCCCGCCUUUCGUGGCGGGGUUUUGCUUUUAU
rfam:Pseudomonas batumici strain TCM B-321 Contig_68, whole genome shotgun sequence.